GGGAGGGUGGUGAGUGUGCAAAGGGGUGUGCAAGGGGGAUGAGUGUGCAUGGGGGGGUGCACGUAGGGGUGGCGGUAGUGGUGUGCAGGUGCACGUGGGUGAGUGUGCAAGGGUGGGUGGGUGCACGUGGGCAUGCAUGUGCUCGUGGGUGGGUGUGCACAGGUGUGGGUGUGCAUGUGGGUGAGUGUGCACAGGUGUGGGUGUGCAUGUGGGUGUGCAUGUGCACGUGGGCGAGUGUGCACAGGUGUGGGUGUACACUGGGAAGUGUGUGUGUGCACGGGUAUCUGUGCAUUGGGGAGUGUGUUUGCACAUGGGGGGGUGUGCAGGUCUGUGGAGGGAUGUGGGUGUGCACACAGGUGUGCACACUCAAGUGUGAGCGCACUUCUGCACGGUUGUGCGUGCACGGAGGUGGUUGUGCACGUGGGUGUGCAUUGGGGUGGGUGUGCACGGAUAUGUGUGAGUGCACAUGGGUGUGCACAGAGAUGGGCGUGUGCAUGCAGAGAGAUCUGUGUGGGCACAUGGGUGUGCAUUGGGGUGCACGCACCUGGGUGUGUGCAUGGGAUGUGUGCACACGGGUGGAUGUGCAAGGCUGUGGGUGUGCACUUGAGUGUGAACACAAAUGUGCGUGCACAGGUGACGGUGUGCUACCGCACAUGGCUUCGCAUGCACAGAUGUGUGCGUGUGCACGUGGGUGUGCACACGGGGGUGUGCACCAGUUUGGGUGUGGAUGGGGGCAGACGUGCAAGGGGGUGGGUGUGCACGGAGGUGGGUGUGCACAUGGGUGUGCACGGCGAUGUGAGCACCUGUGUGAGUGUGCAUGUGUGCAAGGAUGUGUGUGCAUGGUUGUGCAUGCAUGUGGGAGUGUGUGCACGUUUGUGCAUGCGUGCUUGGAUAUGUGUGUGCAUGGGAUUUGUGCACACUUGUGCGUGCGCAUGGGUGUGCGUGCACGUGGGCGUGUGUGCAUGGGAUAUGUGUGCAUGGUUGUGCGUGCACGUGGGCGUGUGCAUGGAUGUGUGUGUGCACGGCGGUGGUGGGUGCGCGUGCACGGGUGUAGGUGUGCACGGGGGCGUGCACGGGGCCACACGCACUUGGGUUCCCUCGGGUGCGUGUGCACGGGGGUGUGCACGUGGGGUGCGGGUGUAGGUGUGCACUUGGGGGGGGCUGUGUGCACAGACGUGCACGGGGGUGCCCACGUGAGUGUGACAAUGGUGACAAUGGGGGUGUGUGUGUGGGGGGGGGUGCACACUGGGGCCAGUGGUCACCAUGGCGACCGCAUCCCUGGGUUUGGGUGGCAGCGGUCGCCGUGGCAACCGAGAUGCGAC
rnacentral:lncRNA from 1 species